rnacentral:rRNA from 1 species
CCUACGGGAGGCAGCAGUGGGGAAUAUUGCGCAAUGGGCGAAAGCCUGACGCAGCGACGCCGCGUGAGGGAUGAAGGUCUUCGGAUCGUAAACCUCUGUCAGCAGGGAAGAACGGGCACUGUGCUAAUCAGCAGUGAAUUGACGGUACCUGCAAAGCAAGCACCGGCUAACUCCGUGCCAGCAGCCGCGGUAAUACGGAGGGUGCGAGCGUUAAUUGGAAUUACUGGGCGUUAAGGGCUCGAAGGCGGAUUACCAAGCAAUGGGUGAAAUCCCGCCGCUAAACGUGGGAACUGCAUUUGAAACUGUCAAACUGGAGUGUGUGAGAGGAUAGUGGAAUUCCAGGUGUAGGAGUAAAAUCCGUAGAUAUCUGGAGGAACACCAGUGGCGAAGGCGACUAUCUGGCACAUAACUGAUGCUGAGGAGCGAAAGCGUGGGUAGCGAACAGGAUUAGAUACCCCAGUAGUC